rnacentral:rRNA from 1 species
UCCGUAGGUGAACCUGCGGAGGGAUCAUUACACAAUAACAAGGCGGGCUGGACACCCCCAGCCGGGCACUGCUUCACGGCGUGCGCGGCUGGGCCGGCCCUGCUGAAUUAUUCACCCGUGUCUUUUGCGUACUUCUUGUUUCCUGGGUGGGCUCGCCCGCCAUCAGGACCAACCACAAACCUUUUGCAAUAGCAAUCAGCGUCAGUAACAACGUAAUUAAUUACAACUUUCAACAACGGAUCUCUUGGUUCUGGCAUCGAUGAAGAACGCAGCGAAAUGCGAUACGUAGUGUGAAUUGCAGAAUUCAGUGAAUCAUCGAAUCUUUGAACGCACAUUGCGCCCUUUGGUAUUCCAAAGGGCAUGCCUGUUCGAGCGUCAUUUGUACCCUCAAGCUUUGCUUGGUGUUGGGCGUCUUUUGUCUCCAGUUCGCUGGAGACUCGCCUUAAAGUCAUUGGCAGCCGGCCUACUGGUUUCGGAGCGCAGCACAAGUCGCGCUCUUUGCCAGCCAAGGUCAGCGUCCAGCAAGCCUUUUUUUUUCAACCUUUGACCUCGGAUCAGGUAGGGAUACCCGCUGAACU